UAGCUUAGUUGGUAAAGCGCUCGUCUAGCAUACAAGAGUAGUGAGUUUGAAUCCCAC
rfam:Aedes aegypti strain Liverpool supercont1.267 genomic scaffold, whole genome shotgun sequence.